rnacentral:rRNA from 1 species
AUUGAACGCUGGCGGCAUGCCUUACACAUGCAAGUCGAACGGCAGCACGGGUGCUUGCACCUGGUGGCGAGUGGCGAACGGGUGAGUAAUACAUCGGAACAUGUCCUGUAGUGGGGGAUAGCCCGGCGAAAGCCGGAUUAAUACCGCAUACGAUCUACGGAUGAAAGCGGGGGACCUUCGGGCCUCGCGCUAUAGGGUUGGCCGAUAGCUGAUUAGCCAGUUGGUGGGGUAAAGGCCUACCAAGGCGACGAUCAGUAGCUGGUCUGAGAGGACGACCAGCCACACUGGGACUGAGACACGGCCCAGACUCCUACGGGAGGCAGCAGUGGGGAAUUUUGGACAAUGGGCGAAAGCCUGAUCCAGCAAUGCCGCGUGUGUGAAGAAGGCCUUCGGGUUGUAAAGCACUUUUGUCCGGAAAGAAAUCCUUGGCUCUAAUACAGUCGGGGGAUGACGGUACCGGAAGAAUAAGCACCGGCUAACUACGUG